rnacentral:rRNA from 1 species
UACGUAGGGUGCAAGCGUUAAUCGGAAUUACUGGGCGUAAAGCGUGCGCAGGCGGUUUUGUAAGCCAGAUGUGAAAGCCCCGGGCUCAACCUGGGAACUGCGUUUGGAACUACAAGUCUAGAGUAUUGGAGGGGGCAGAGGAAUUUCACAUGUAGGGGUAAAAUCCGUAGAGAUGUGAAGGAACACCAGAGGCGAAGGCGUCUGCCUGGCCAACCACUGACGCUGAGGCGCGAAAGCGUGGGGAGCAAACAGGAUUAGAAA